UUAAAAAAGUAAAAAGAAACAGGUGAAAUUAAUAUAUUAAAAUUUUUAUUUAACCCCAGAAUAUUUUCAUCUUAACAUAUAAGUGAUUCAUGGGCUAUUUCAGUCUUUUAUUUUGUAUGAAGUCUUGAAAAUUCAUUGUGUAUUUGAUACUCACCGUGCGUCUCAGUUCAGACUAGCCACAUUUUAAAUGCUCAGUUGCCAGAUGUGGCUCGGGGCUCCCUUACUGGACAGUGUAGCUCUAGAUGGUUCUUUCCCUUAAAUAAAAGUUAGGGCAGGCUGACCGCUGUGAGGCAGGCUGGAUCUUGGGGACAACCAUGUGGGUUUGCCACUUUGCAAAGCAGUAUAAAGGUGUCCCUUGCACUGGGAGGAGUGGGGAAGCAGGGGGCCUGGCAGGGGCUCACUGGCUGGGUAUUCCUCUCGCAAGUAUCUAACAUUUAUUUAUCCUCCUGGUCCCAAGGAGGGGCCAAUCUCAGCCAGACCCAUGGUCCAGCUGUCCUGGAGAGAGCUGGACAGGGCAGCUCAUGAGAUUUUCCCUCCCUUUCCCCUGGGGGUUUGAAGGGAAAUUUUUGGGUAGGGAGAACAAAGCCGAAAAGCAUCCUCAGUUCAAACAUUGAUUGGGCGAGCUUUUGUUCUCCGUCUUAUCAAAUAACUUGGAGUUAAAGAGACAGGCAGGCUCCUCGCAGGGCUGUUGAACUCUGUCCCCAAAGCAGGUGCUGUUGGGGCAGCUUAGGUGGACGGUAAUGAAGGUCAGGAGGAAGAGGUGGCAGUGGGCGCAGAGUGCAAGGUGUGGGUUCCAGCUGAUCAAUUAUUCAGGCGCCAGACAGUGGGAAUAUUGUCAGGAGACAGAGUCCCUGGGCCCCAGGCAUUCCCACCCCGACUAUUCUCAGCCUGGCAGCGGGAGUAAUCCUGUUUUAAGGUAGAGUAGGUAACGUCACUUCCAAGCUUGAGUCCCUCCUGUCUUACCCAGAGAAACAACCAAAGUCCUCCCCCCAUCUCUAAGGCCCUCUGACCUCAUCCUCUGUUGUUCCUCCAUCAAUGCUCUUGCUCAGAGCCUUUGCACUGGCUGUUCCCUCUGCCUGAACUGCUUUUCUCCCACCUUCUUUCCCUCACCUUCCUUCAGGAAUGUGCUCAAUGUCGCCUUCUCAGUGAGACCUUCUGGCUCCCCUGUCUAAAAUCCCAACCUUCCCCAAUACUUCCUAUCCCCCACCCUAUUUCUUUUUCUUUAUUCUCUUAUAUUUCUUCUUAGCACUUAUCUCUGUUUAAUAUGCUUUAUAGUUUUCUUCUCUAUCUGGAAUACCGUCUAUCUACCCCCUAGAAUACAAGCUUCAUGAAGAAAGGGAUUUGUGACUGUUCAUGGUGUACCCCAGCUCCUGGAAUAGGCCUGGCAUCCAAUAGGUGCUCAAUGAAUGCUUGUUGAAUGAGUGAAUGAGUGGUGGAAAGAACACUGGCUUUGGAACUAGAUUGACCUUGAAGGUUCAAGUCCUGGUUCUAGCUGUGUAGCCUUAGAAAAAUGGCUUAACCUCUAUGCGUCUUAGUCUCUUCAUCUGUAAAAUGGGGACAACAGUACUUAGUCUAAAUAGUUGUGUCAGGGUGGAUUGAAUAAUAUAACCAAUUCAUCCAGUAAACAUUUACCCUUUCCCUUCUCUGGACCAGGUAUUGUGCCAGGUGGAGACCCAGUGAGCAAGGGAGGCCAGAGGGCCCGUCCCUGCCUUCCAGAAGCACGUCUGGAGAAAAAUGGGCAGAAAGCCCAGGGGAACAGCAGGUCUCUGGUGGCUCCAGGCUCCUGCCCCCACCCCCAUGCUCUGUGAGUGACAGGGCCCCCAGACAGACAUCUUUUGAAGUAUCUGCAUCGCUCACAAUGACCCACUUCACUGCACGGAUUCCAACAACCAGGAAUCUACUUUGCGACCCACCCUGAUGGAUACGGUUGAUCGGAGAGAGGUUGAUGUAGGAACAUGUAAGACAGAAGAUGGAGAAAUAAACAAGAUUGUAUCUCUGGCCCCAGAUUUGCUAGCAAGAAGCUGUGCUCACCCCUGUGCAGACGACACUGCCUCUUCACUAGGAAACUGUGCCUCCAACUCCCUGGCCACAGUCAAGCUCUCUCAGUGGAAGAGGGGUCUCUCCUACCCACUGCCAACCCCUUCCCUGUACAUCUGGAGGAAAAACUAGAAAAGAACAGAUGUUGGAGGCCAAGGAACAGAGCGUUUCAAAGAAGAAGUGGUCAGCAACGGCCAGUGGCCAGCCUUGCCCUGGGCCUCUAGUUGGUCUUAUGGGGCCAGCAUUCAGAGUACUUGACUUAUCCCAUCGCUCCCAGGAGCGGUCUGCACGCUUCUCUUUCUGCCUUUGCUCCUUAAUUCUUCUCCUCUGCUGCAAUUUCUAGGCUCUUGAUUUUUUAGUAUUUUUUCUUUUUCUAGGUCUUGAGUCUUCAUCCUCCUUCUGCUGCUGAUUGCCUGUGGUAACCAUCCCCUCAGCUAAGCUGUGCCCUGGCCCUGGGGAGAGCAGCACCCCUGGGAAGGUACAGCAGACACAAGCAUAGAGGCCCAUUCACCUGCUUGGGUCCGCAUAGCUUGCCUCUGCCUAGUUUCUGUUUACCUCUCCACCUGUUCCCUCAUCUACUUCCUCUUUCCUUGUUACCAGCAUUGUCCUUGGACUAAGCCCUGUGCCCUCCCCCACAGCCCUUUACACACAGCUACUUACCCAGUCACCAUCUGGCUGCCCAGGAGGACCUAACCUGUGUUUGUGAGCCCAUAGUCCUUGGGGUACCCAUUGGAGUGAACCUGGAAAUAUUCCAGCACUUGGAAUUUUCCUUUUCCUCUGCCCUGCCUCAGCAGGACUGACCACACCAUCGUCUCUUUGCCCCAGUGCUUCUCUCGGUGUUAUAAAGAUCUUGGCUGUAGCCAUAAGGCCCUCUAGGCUGCUCCAUCACUGGGUGAGGUCAAUUGACCUCAGAGGUCGGGCAAUGGGAGGUACUGCAUAGGCAGGCUCUUCCCCCACAUGCAAGGGAUGGGGAGAUCAGACACCACAGAGGUGUAGGGAAGCUCAGGGAUGACAGAGAGCUGCUGGCUGGCCUCCAGAAGUAGUCAUCUCCUGGAAUAUGCCUGGCCUGGGUGACACUGCCUCACCAAUGCUCCCAGGGCUACAGCUCUGCCUCCUGGGAGACCAGCUCCCAUGGAGGAUGGUCCAGUGGGCCCAGUGUGAGGCUUCUGCCCUUGUUUGCCACUCUGUCUCCUUCUCUGGUCUGUGAACAUCUUGAGGGCCCAGGCUCUGUUUUUCCUCCAUUUCUUCCCUUCUCUCCCACAGUUCUCUCCCAUUCCCUUUGAUAGUGACCUGCCUGCUCACGAUAGUUUGGUUCAGUCUUACAGGGUGCCCCCUUUCAUGGUCCUUCUUCCACGUGCUGGAACUGUUAAACCCUCCUGUUCCUCUCCGCCGUGGCUGUGCGAUGUCAGUUCACUCCUCAUGGCCCCCCUCACCUUUCUCCUCAUAUCCCCCAACUCCUCUUCCUCCCUGCUCUGCCCUGAAUCUGCUGUCUUCCAGACCUGGUCAGCCUCCCUCUCUGCAUCCUGCCCACAAGUUUCCUACAGCAGAUUAAGUUCUAAUCUUAAAUGACGGAAAAUAAGGAUGUGAAUUCCAUACAUCUUCAGUCAUUUGUACUCUUAUUUCCAUUUUAUGUUGGUAUUACUUUUUCAUUUUCUUUUUUGGCCUUUUUAAAUUUAGAGUUUCUUUUCCCUUUACUGGUUUGGAUGGUAUACAUUCUCUUUUUCUUUAUUUCUUUUUUACUAGUUACCCUAAAAAGUUUAACACCUAUAUAUGCUUGUUAAAUGUGUAUGUUGUGUGUGUGUGUGUGUGUGUGUGUGAGGAAGAUUAGCCCUGAGCUAACAUCUGAGCCAAUCUUCCUCUAUUUUAUGUGGGAUGCUGC